AUGAAUCGAGAGGAUUGAAGAAUUGUGGAGUUGUGAAGUGAAGGAAGAGAACCCCUUGGUUUGGAUCCAGCUCUGCCUUUAUAGCCAAAUGAAGGGACCUGGAUUGAAUUGGUUAGAGGGUGUAAGUGAGCUGAACACGUAUAUGCUGGAUGAAGGUUGAUUAUGUUUGAAUGUGCAAGGCUGCAGCAAGUUGGAACAAAGUCUAUCAAAGUGAAAACAAGUGAAACAUCUUGGAAAAAAUGGAGAAAGAGAAGGAUAAAUUUUAGGAAGUGUUAUAUACUUCUCGGUGUAAUUUUGUAAUGAGCUUUUGUAAUUUGGAUAUGAAUUGUUUUAUGUAAUGUAUUUUAAACUUGGACUUUGAUGAAUAUGGAAUGGUUGACGUUAGCUGAUUAGAAAAAAAUGGUGAAAAAUUGCUUAAUACUUUUGGGUGAAGCUUAAAACCUGAACCUUGAAUGAGGGAUGUAAAAAUUAAUGUGGCUUGAAUAAUAUUGGCCUUUGUGACUAAA